GGGCCAGGUGCUUUCUGGGUAAUGUAUUUCAUUAGUUUGGAUUGUGAUUAAACUGGGAGCCCCGUGGAACAACACUUCCCAGACUGCGCCAUCGCUCCACGUGGCUCUAUUUUGUUUGCAAACAAAGCUCCGUGUACAAAAAGUUGGAACAUGUGAGCUCUUCCGCCUUGAAUUCGUCCACUUUGUCAGAAUGAUAUAAAAAGAUACAUAUUCAUAAUGUUGAAACGACCGCUUUGGUCCAAUGUUUAAUUAUUUUGCACCGGCCUCAAGUUCAGGUGAUGGGCUCGAUGGGCGUGCCACGUCUGAUGCCGUAGAAGAGGAGCAGGGCCUUCCUCAGGUCCCUGUAUCUGAAGCCGUACAGGUGCGGCAGCACACGGCCACGUAGCCGGAAAACACCAGCAGUAGGAUCAGCAGGAUGGCCGCCACGGAGAGCAGCAUCGCCAACUGUGGGAGGAUCUGGAGCCGUUGGUCUGGUGGGACAUAGCCAUGGGGCCCUCGGCGCGGACCGAGCUGUUGUACCACUUGCUGAAGGCGCAAUGCAGAGAGCGAACCAGCUGCUGGUUCUCCUCCAUGGCUUCUGGAUCCUCACAGCCCAUCCAUCCACAGCUCCUCAGGGGCCGGGCUCACGCUCUGAGUGAGAGUUGGCUGUGUUCUCCCAUUCUGCUCUA